rnacentral:rRNA from 1 species
UGGGGAAUAUUGCACAAUGGGCGGAAGCCUGAUGCAGCGACGCCGCGUGAGGGAUGAAGGCCUUCGGGUUGUAAACCUCUUUCAGCAGGGACGAAGCGUGAGUGACGGUACCUGCAGAUGAAGCACCGGCUAACUACGUGCCAGCAGCCGCGGUAAUACGUAGGGUGCGAGCGUUGUCCGGAAUUACUGGGCGUAAAGAGUUCGUAGGCGGUUUGUCGCGUCGUUUGUGAAAACCCGGGGCUCAACUUCGGGCUUGCAGGCGAUACGGGCAGACUUGAGUGUUUCAGGGGAGACCGGAAUUCCUGGUGUAGCGGUGAAAUGCGCAGAUAUCAGGAGGAACACCGGUGGCGAAGGCGGGUCUCUGGGAAACAACUGACGCUGAGGAACGAAAGCGUGGGUAGCAAAC